GUGGUUAUGGCGAAAUGGUUAACGCACUAGAUUGUGGAUCUAGCUAUUGUGAGUUCGACCCUCACUGACCACA
rnacentral:tRNA from 1 species